CGGGCAGCUUUUGGGAUCCUCUGGGUGCUCCAGGGACAGGUUUUUCCUUUCUGCUCCUCGUCCCAUCCUGGUUCUGCACGUCAAUCUCUCAGAAUUCACUCCUGAUGGAAAGCACUGACUGGACACCAACAGAAUCUCGUUUGUGGGUGAUCUAUGGGGAGAUGCUCACUCUGAGCUGCACUAAGACCACCAAGCCAUGUCACUAAAAGCACUGAGCAGCCCUCAGAGUUCCUGACUGGGCCAUCCAGCAGCACUGCUGGGCCCAUGGGAUUGGGGGAACUAAACCCAGCUGGAUCCUUUUCUCAGUUAGAAGAUUCCUGAGUUGAUGAAUCUGCGAGCCAAGAUCUCCAAGGCUCUGCAAGAUAUUGCAGUCACAGUUAAUGAAGCCCUUAAUGAACUGACAGGCCUGGUUCUUAUCUCACUUAUGCCAGAUUUAAACCUAUGUAACUCCAUUAACUUGGUGAGUUGAUCCUAAUUUUACAUAAGUGUAAAAAAGAUGAAAACCAGACGUUUUAUGUUCUCAUUAUCUAAGAGAA